GGUCAUCUACCCAAACCUUCCAAUAUUAAUGACAGAUGACAUAUUGGAAGGUAUGGGUAGAUGACAU
rnacentral:pre_miRNA from 1 species